GAUGAAGAACGUAGCGAAAUGCGAUACGUAAUGUGAAUUGCAGAAUUCAGUGAAUCAUCGAGUCUUUGAACGCACAUUGCGCCCUCUGGUAUUCCGGAGGGCAUGCCUGUCCGAGCGUCAUUGCUGCCCUCAAGCACGGCUUGUGUGUUGGGCCCCGCCCCCCGAUCCCGGGGGGCGGGCCCGAAAGGCAGCGGCGGCACCGCGUCCGGUCCUCGAGCGUAUGGGGCUUUGUCACCCGCUCUGUAGGCCCGGCCGGCGCCUGCCGAUCAACCAAACUUUUUUCCAGGUUGACCUCGGAUCAGGUAGGGAUACCCGCUGAACUUAAGCAUAUCAAUAAGCGGGGA
rnacentral:misc_RNA from 1 species